CACUAUUAAAUGCUGUAGCUUUAACAUUUUUGGUUAGAUGCUUGUACAUGUUGCUUCUACUUAGAUUGCAUGUCUCUUUCUUAUUAGAUUAUAUAUCCUUUGGAAAUGAUAUAAUUCCAUUUCUUUUCCUUCCUUGGCUUUUUUUUUUUUUUUUAAAUGCUCUAAUCCUCAUUUACAAUGAAUUAUAAAAGUUGGAAUCUUCAGCAAAAUGAUUAGGUUUGACGAGAAGAUCUCGGUGGGAAAGAUCAAAGGCAAGAGGUUUGCUAUGAUGACAUCAAUCGGAAGCUCUAGGGGUAGAUUGGAGGGAAGGAGGAAGGGAUUUCGUGUUGGAAAUGCGAAGCAAUAGCAGGGAGGUUCUUGCAGUAUUAUAUUGUUUCAGUGGAAGAAAAGAGAUUCACUCAGAUUUUUCCAAAAGGGAGAGGAUUUCCAAGGGUAUCUCCUAUUCAAAGGGUGGAAGGUGUUGGCUAAGAAGUUGAGAAGCUUAGGGGUAUCUCCUAUUCAAAGGGUAGAGUUGGUGACUCAAUCUGUUAGUCUACAAGGGUGAGAGGGUGGGGAGGAUGUACCUAAAAAGGGUUUUUCUUUUGCAGAAUGGUGAACAAGGGCAAGAGUGAGGUGGUGGAAACAGUGUGGUUUAGAUGGGAAUGGAGGAAAUCUACAAAUACAUGGAAAGCCUUGAAAAUCCAAUCCCAUCUCUUAUUUUGAAUAUAUGAUUACUUGAGUGAUGAUUCAACAAAGAAAGUAUUGAUUGAUUUAUCUAACAAUUAUUCUUGAUCUUUCAUUUCAAAGGUUGAUUAUACCAUGUUUUAAUUGAAUUUAAAAUUUUGUGGAAAUUCAAAAGUUGGUCGGAAAAUUUAUAAGAUUGGUCUCAUGAAAUGAAAUCUCUGCACGUGAUAUUAUUAGUUUUUGGUGGCUUCCAACAAUAAUGGGAAAGAAUACAAAAACAUCUAGUCAUGAAUGUAAUAUUUAUAUAUUUUUUUUAAAGUAGAACUUCUAAAAAAAUAAUAUUUUCCUAAUUUUCAUAUUAAACUCUAUUUUAACAAAAUAAACAUAAUUUUUUUUUAUUAAGCUUAAAAAGAGAGUUUUGGACUUUCCAAGAGUCCAUCUAGAUAAUGUCACAUGGAGUUUGCUUUAAAGCUUUUACUUUGAUUUAAAAAAAUUAAUAAAAAGAUCAUCUAUGAGGAAGAAAAAGAGAAAGAAAAUAAGUUUUAAUAUAUGGGUUGGUCUCUCAGAUAAGAUUUCAGACCUAGUUUCGCUAAAAUCAUGGGUAGUGUUCCAUUAGCGCUUGAAGGGGAACAUUCAUUUGGUGUUGCUGGGUGGUUCCCUUGUUUUGUUUAAUUUAAAAAAGUUGAUGCUGAGAAGGUGCUAGGUUUGAGAAAAUAUGAGGUGAGGUUUCUGCAUCUGGAGAGAUGGUCUCUAAAAGAAGGUUGCUUUAGGCAUGGUGCUUGCGCUAAAAAAGUUUGGGUUUGUAAGGUUGCUUAUCCACUUUGGGGACGCUUGUGGGGGAUUUAUGGCUGUGGACGAAGACACAACUCUUCCUUACAAUUUGUAGGGGGUUAAGAUCAUGGUGAAAUCCCAUGGGACAAGGGAUCCAGAUACCUUUCAUGCAUGUGGUGGUGGGGGUUUUGAGUUUCUCCAUUCUGUUUUGGUGGAAAAUUUUGUUGUGGGUGAUUUUGGUUGAACCUAAGAGCAAUUGCAGAGGGUGGGAAGACUAAUAAUUAGUGGGGUCUCCACAUGCUAGAAGGAGAGUGGGAAUUGCUGACGAGUCUCUUGAAAAGGAGGAGAUUACGUUGUGGAUUUGGGGCUAUAGCCUCUUGUAGGUUAGGGGCUAGGCCUGGCUUUUCGAGAGCAAGUAGGUGGGGAGUGGGCCAACUUAUGUGCGAAGCAAGGAAAUGAUUGCACAGGAGGACCUUAUGGAUCUUGGCAUCAUCCCUUUUAAGAGAAUGGGUAAGGAAGACCUGAAGGAGUUGGGUUCAUUAGCCUGCCUUUUUUUCCAUGUGAGGCUUAAGACAACUUGUUGGGCUUUAAUAUUUGUGCUAGAGGCAUUUAGAAGAUGAAGACCCCUUCAAUGGAUCAACCUGGUCUGGUUACUUAAAGCCACUUGUUGUUCAUCUGUUUCCCAACUUAAAGUGGGUUGGGCUUCAGUUGAUUUGAGCAAGCCUAAUGCCUCUCUUAAAGGGAAAGAGAAGGUGGGCUAAAGUAACUGUAUUUAGAUCUCUCCUUUUGGUGGAGAGAGUGGAGCAAGUGAGCACUAUGAUGCUCUCACCGAUGUUCCUUGUGCGGGCACAAUUUCAAGGCUUAAAGGGUUCGGUAUCUGGAGCAAUGAAGCCCUUCUAGCCGAAGUUGCUUGUUACAAAGGUAUGUCUUGCUCUUGUGGUGCCUCAUCAAGGGGCGAACAUCCUCUUUCUUCGUUUUCUUCUCUUUUGGAGAUUAAGCCCGUAGAUUUUGGUAAUGGGUCAUUGUGCUAGUUAUUUGAUGAUGUUAUUAGGUGGGAAAUUUGCAUCAGCCAAAGCAAGGUCUUCCACUGUUCUCAUGGGAGUUGAAAAUUGGCCGUUGAUGAUGGUGCUUUAAUAUGACAUAUUUGAGUGUUACCAGAAAAUGUGUUGAGGGGAUGACCGAGUAAGGAGGCCGUGGAGAAGCCAGGGGAGAUGGAUGGUCCGAAGAGUCUCUAAGUAGUUGGCCAAUGGAGGAAAUUUACCCAUCCAAAUGUCUGUUUUGCAAACUGACGGCUUUUAAUAGUUUCAUUAGGAUGCCAAUGGAGGGCUUUGAGAAGGAGGUAAUUUCCCUUUUAAGUGAGAUGGAGGCUGAGAUUGGGUGUAGUGCUUUGUCUCUGGAGAUUUGCUUUUGAGUGUUGGUGUGAGGGAGGUGAGGAAUGCUAUGGGGUGGGGUUGUGGAAAGCUAUUAGAAACAUUCAGGAAGUUUUUAGAAGUAGAACUUACCUAGUUGUGGGUAAUAGCUGAAAAAUAAAAUUCUGGAAAGACAAAUGGUGCAGUGAAAGUUCUUUUGAAGAGUCUUUGUUGGUGCUAUUUUCUUUAGCCAUUAAUAAAGACUCUUGGAUAGAAGAAAUGUGGGAAUAGGUUAGGGAGGAGGGGGGUUGGUGGAGUCCGUGCUUUCAUAGAUAGUUCCACGAUUGGGAAUUAGGAGUAGAUUUUCUUUGAUGACUGCGAUCAAUUUCAGUUAGAAGAGAUUACGAGGCUAGAUUGGGUUAGAAGGAAACCAAGACUAGCAAGUUCUUAGUUAAAUCCUUCUAUUUUUCCGUGGCUUAGAGAAGAAGUGAACCUUUCCCUGCAAGCAUAGCAUGGAACCUGUGGGUGCUAAACAGGGUGAUUUUAUUUACUUGGGAAGCUAUUUGGGAAGGAAUUUUAACUCUUGAUCAGCUUAGAGGGAGGGGUUGGAUAUUCCACCUAGAUGCUACAUGUGUAAGGGGGAUGAAGAGUCCAACCACCACUUGCUUUUCCAUUGUCCCAAAGCGGUAACCCUAUGGUAUUUGGUUUUCUCUUUGUUUGGAUGGCUUGGGUGACGUAUUCUUCUGUUAGAGGCAUUCUUCAAAGUUGGUAUUGUUCUUUUGUAGGAAAGAAGAGGAAGAAGGCUUGGAGGGCCGCUCCUUUGUGCCUGUUUUGGAGGUUAUGGGGGGGACAAAAUAGGAGAUCUUUUGAAGGAGUUGAAUAGUCAGAUCAA